ACUCAAAGGAAUAGACGGGGGCCCGCACAAGCGGUGGAGCAUGUGGCUUAAUUCGAUGCAACGCGAAGAACCUUACCUAGGUUUGACAUGCACUGGACAGGGUAUGAAAGUACCUCUCCCUUCGGGGCCGGUGCACAGGUGCUGCAUGGCUGUCGUCAGCUCGUGUCGUGAGAUGUUCGGUUAAGUCCGGUAACGAGCGCAACCCCCGUUCUUAGUUGCUAACGAGUAAUGUCGAGAACUCUAAGGAUACAAACUCAUUAUAUGAGUGGGAAGGUGGGGAUGAAGUCAAGUCAGUAUGGCCCUUACACCUAGGGCUGCACACGUGCUACAAUGCCUGGUACAAUGAGAAGCAAUACCGCAAGGUGGAGCAAAUCUAUAAAACCAGGCCCAGUUCAGAUUGGAGUCUGCAAUUCGACUCCAUGAAGUUGGAAUCGCUAGUAAUGGCGCAUCAGCUACGGCGCCGUGAAUACGUUCCCGGGCCUUGCACACACCGCCCGU
rnacentral:rRNA from 1 species